GCUGGAAACAGAGCACCAAACAGAGAUCGCUGUUGCGCG
rnacentral:SRP_RNA from 12 species